UACGUAGGGGGCAAGCGUUGUCCGGAAUCAUUGGGCGUAAAGCGUGCGUAGGCGGCCCGGUAAGUCCGCUGUGAAAGUCAAAGGCUCAACCUUUGAAUGCCGGUGGAUACUGCCGGGCUAGAGUCCGGAAGAGGCGAGUGGAAUUCCUGGUGUAGCGGUGGAAUGCGCAGAUAUCAGGAGGAACACCGGUGGCGAAGGCGGGUCUCUGGGCCGAAAUUGACGCUGAGGAGCGAAAGCGUGGGGAGCAAACAGG
rnacentral:rRNA from 1 species